rnacentral:rRNA from 1 species
UACGGAGGGUGCGAGCGUUGUCCGGAAUCACUGAGCGUAAAGGGUGAGUAGGUGGCCUGUUAAGCGUGUGGUGAAAGCCUGGGGCUCAACCCCAGGUCUGCCGUGCGAACUGACAGGCUUGAGCAGAGUAGAGGCGAGUGGAAUUUCGGGUGUAGCGGUGGAAUGCGUAGAUAUCCGAAAGAACACCGGUGGCGAAGGCGACUCGCUGGGCUCUUGCUGACACUGAAUCACGACAGCGUGGGGAGCAAACAGG